UCCCUGGUGGUCCAGUGGCUAAGACUUCACGCUCCCAAUUCGGAGGACCCAGGUUUGAUCCCUGGUCAGGGAA
rfam:Ovis aries breed Texel chromosome 5, whole genome shotgun sequence.